rnacentral:rRNA from 1 species
UGGGGAAUUUUGGACAAUGGGCGAAAGCCUGAUCCAGCAAUGCCGCGUGUGUGAAGAAGGCCUUCGGGUUGUAAAGCACUUUUGUCCGGAAAGAAAUCCUUGGCUCUAAUACAGUCGGGGGAUGACGGUACCGGAAGAAUAAGCACCGGCUAACUACGUGCCAGCAGCCGCGGUAAUACGUAGGGUGCAAGCGUUAAUCGGAAUUACUGGGCGUAAAGCGUGCGCAGGCGGUUUGCUAAGACCGAUGUGAAAUCCCCGGGCUCAACCUGGGAACUGCAUUGGUGACUGGCAGGCUAGAGUAUGGCAGAGGGGGGUAGAAUUCCACGUGUAGCAGUGAAAUGCGUAGAGAUGUGGAGGAAUACCGAUGGCGAAGGCAGCCCCCUGGGCCAAUACUGACGCUCAUGCACGAAAGCGUGGGGAGCAAAACAGGAUUAGAUACCCUGGUAGUCCACGCCCUAAAACGAUGUCAACUAGUUGUUGGGGAUUCAUUUCCUUAGUAACGUAGCUAACGCGUGAAGUUGACCGCCUGGGGAGUACGGUCGCAAGAUUAAAACUCAAAGGAAUUGACGGGGUCAUAGCUG